rnacentral:rRNA from 1 species
UACGGAGGGUGCAAGCGUUGUUCGGAAUUAUUGGGCGUAAAGCGCGCGCAGGCGGUCUGGAAAGUCUAUGGGUGAAAUGCCGGGGCUCAACCCCGUGCAUGCCCAGGAUACUGUCAGACUGGAGACACGUAGAGGCAAGCGGAAUUUCGGGUGUAGCGGUGGAAUGCGUAGAUAUCUGGAGGAACACCGGUGGCGAAGGCGGCAUCCUGGACCAUAACUGACGCUGAUCCGCGAAAGCUAGGGGAGCAAACGGGG